UACAGAGGGUGCGAGCGUUCAUCGGAAUUACUGGGCGUAAAGCGUGCGCAGACGGUCAUGUAAGUCGGGUGUGAAAGCCCCGGGCUCAACCUGGGAAUUGCAUUCGAGACUGCAUGGCUAGGGUGCGGAAGAGGGAAGCGGAAUUUCCGGUGUAGCGGUGAAAUGCGUAGAUAUCGGAAGGAACACCAGUGGCGAAAGCGGCUUCCUGGUCCAGCACCGACGUUCAGGCACGAAAGCGUGGGGAGCAAACAGG
rnacentral:rRNA from 1 species